GCGGAGGCUGCGAUGGACGGGGCGCGCGCUCGGUGGGAGCGGUGGCAGGUCGGAGACCCUUCAGAAGUGGUGCAUAAGCCGAAAGAAACUGAGGAGAACAUACCUGACUUAGGUGUACUCAAGGAAGAGGGCCCUGAAGAGAAGUUGGACUACCUGCAGGGACGACUGAAGACCUCGGAUGAGGAGGUGUUUGGCGUCCAUCCUGAAGCUGAUGAGAGUCUGGAGUUGGGAGCGCAGAUUUAUGGGGAGAUCCACGGACAGCAGUAUCAGAUGAGGAACGGGCAAGCUGGAGAACGUACUGCGGGAAGGCUCCUAGACACGGGGAGCAGAACACGGCACAGUGGGCACCGCAGGCCUCGAAUACGUCACGUGUGAGAGAGAGUUCGUGACGGAGCCCACUUGCACGGACCCGGAGCCUGGCGGCGGCUCAAAUGCCAGAGGAUCGUCUUCGCAAGGUGCGUCUAUGCAGACACAACACGUGCGAUACCCUGACACAGAGGAAAACCAUGGUAUUGCAUCACCUUCUGAACAGUACAUUUUUUUUCUGCUUCAGUGAAACUUGAGUGAAACUUAGAGAUAUUCAUGUCAAUGCUAAAGUUUGGUUCACACUUUCACAGAGGUGAAGACUAUUUUUUCAUCUGAUGAAGAGCUCUACAGUAUCGCAGGGCCUCACAGUUGCCCGUUUUGUGUGGAACCAACAGCUGCGAUGCUUGAACAUUUGCGAAGGAGACAUUUGAACUUUGCUAUUCACCUACUGGAAAAUGAGACUGGUAUUUAAAUACUUCUGCUGCUGGGUAUAAGAAAUUUCUUAGAUUUUCUUUAUUGUUACAAAAGCCAGGGUGAUUCCAAAUGAUUAUUUUUGAGGGACUUAUGGUAUGGCUUUGAUAUCCAGCUACCCUGUGUUGCUUGAAGAAACAUCUUUACUCUUACAUCACAUUCCCGUAAGACCUAAGAGGAAAAAAAUGAAAAUAUACUCAUCCCUCAUUAAAUGGGGUUCCUUAUAACAAUAAAUUGCUACGGCCACCUCCAAAAAUGUGUUUUUUUCAUACUAGAGACUUAUGAUUCAGUACAGUAAUUUGCCCCUUAUUUGGUCAUUUUCUUUCUGUAAUUGACAUAAAAAUGUCAGUGUUAUUCCAGCCAGUAUUAUUUUUUUUUUUUAAAAAAAUGAGCAGUUUAGUCCCAGUGCAACACAGGGGCUGUGCAGCUUUCAGGCUACCCUACACACUGGUCCAAAACAGUCCAAUCAGGGCAGCGAUCACAGAAAGUAUAAACAAUUAAUAAAGAAAAGCCGGUUAUUAAUUUUAGGUGACAUUUUUAGUCCUGCAACUGAUUAUUUUCUUUUCCCACAUAAGUAUUGAUGGUAAUUUUACCCCCUCAUGAAAGGAAAUCGAGCUAACAGGGUGAUUUCAUGAAGGAUAGUAACAACGUUAUGUCAGAAAUGGGUCUAAAAGCAAAAGCACUAAAUCUGUCAAUGACACAAACUCCUUUUUUUAAAGGUUUAUACAUGGUAGCAUUGUUUGUGCCAUUUUUCUCAAACAGAGAAAUUCACCAUUCCGUGCUUCUGUGAAAAAGUAGAACUGGAGCCACUGGCACUGUCACAGGUGCAAUGUGUCCAUAGAAGGAACCAUCGUUUCACAGAUCACCUGCUAAAAUAUGCUUACGACAUGAGCUCGCAUAGAUUUUUGCUGAUCUGCGUUAAACUUUGAUAUUAUUUAAAUCCUCAGUGGACUCAGUAGUAUUUUUUCUUUCAUAGGGUACACCAUCCAGAAUCCUAAAGUUUGCACAGAAUGGAAUCAUACAAAACGAAAGAGACAUCACAGUGGAGCAGGAAGAGCUCAGUCCUGUAGAGGGUUUUUGGGGCAGGGAUGCUCCAGCGCUGGAUACCGACAUGGGGACUCUGCAGUCUACCUGGCCACAGCACGGCACAUUCAGUUCUGGAGAAGAUAAUGGUCUGUCUUCAUCAGUCCUCGUAUUAACCUCCUGAACAUCUAUUUGAAAUCGUUGGUAGAGGUGCGCCUGGUUCACAGCACUUAUGGUCACUAAGUGUGGGAUACAUGAUCUACUACCUUUUUGUUCCCUAACACCCUAUAUUAUGGAUAAGGACACCUUGAGAGAGGUGUUUAACAUUUUGAAAACUUGUUUUAAAUUAAAUAUCCAAGGUUUUGUUUUCUAUUUUUAUGAAAGCAAAAGGUUUCUUCUUAAAUUGCCUGUUGCUUUGUGAAAUAGCUCUAGGCUAAUGCAGGUGGGGGAAUUAAAGUUUUCCAAGGUUUGGUCUGGAAAAUUCAUCUAAUUAGUAUUUGAUAAAAACUGUUGGGUUUUGGUAUUUUCAUUGAGAAAAUUUGUUGUAACGUCAUUUGGAUUAGAAAUCCAUUAAAUGUAGAUGCUUAAGUAAAAGUAUUUCAUUCAAACAACUGAUGUAAAUGUAGCAGUUGGUAAUUUAAGCACACUAAAACAGUAAUGUCCUCUGUGCCCACAGACCUUCUUAAAGAGUAACCCAUAUGACUCCUGUGUAUGCUGGGCAUAACUACAACCAUCCAUACUGAGUAAAAAAAUAAAAAUCCAAAAAAUCCAUUUAUCUUGGAAAUAUUUAUACAAAUAAUAGACUCUUCCUGAUCUUGCACAUAUAAUACAUUAUGGAAAAGAUUUUAAAAUAUUAUCACUGGGACUUGUACAGGAGAGCACGGAACAAUCCAAAAACAAGUUCAUCCACAUUUAAAAAUUAUCCAGUAAACCGAGUUCACCUUUAAAAAAAAAAAAAAUUACAUUUAUAAAAAUGACCUUGCACUUCUGGUGAACUACCUGAUAAGAAGGACAAGGCUUUGCUUUGUUGCAGUCUUAAAUAUGUUGUGUAUCUGAAGAGCUGCAACAUAUUAACCUGUAAAGAGCAGGAAAUGACUCCAGUUAAUAGUCAAUCACGAUUAGCAUGCUGAUCACAGGUCUCUGCUAUAGAAACCGGGCUUAACAUUUUUAAAUAACAAGUAAUUUUUUUGUUGAGGCCAUGGUGGUGCGGUGCGGUGGGUUG